ensembl:misc_RNA Metazoa_SRP Metazoan signal recognition particle RNA
GCCGGGUGUGGUGGCGCACACCUGUAAUCCCAGCCACUUGGGAGGCUGAGGCAGGAGAAUCGCUUGAACCCAGGAGGCAGAGGUUGCAGUGAGCUGAGAUGGUGCCACUGCACUCCAGCCUGGACAACAGAGUGAGACUCCGUCUCAA